rnacentral:rRNA from 1 species
AGAGUUUGAUCCUGGCUCAGAUUGAACGCUGGCGGCGUGCCUAACACAUGCAAGUCGAGCGGUAACGCGGGGGCAACCCUGGCGACGAGCGGCGAACGGGUGAGUAAUGCUUGGGAAUCUGCCCAGUAGUGGGGAAUAACCAGCCGAAAGGUUGGCUAAUACCGCAUACGCCCUACGGGGGAAAGCGGGGGACCGAAAGGCCUCGCGCUAUUGGAUGAGCCCAAGUCGGAUUAGCUAGUUGGUAGGGUAACGGCCUACCAAGGCGACGAUCCGUAGCUGGUCUGAGAGGACGACCAGCCACACUGGGACUGAGACACGGCCCAGACUCCUACGGGAGGCAGCAGUGGGGAAUAUUGGACAAUGGGCGAAAGCCUGAUCCAGCGACGCCGCGUGGGUGAAGAAGGCCUGCGGGUUGUAAAGCCCUUUUAGUGGGGAUGAAAAACUCAGACCUAAUACGUCUGGGUCUUGACCUAACCCACAG